rnacentral:lncRNA from 1 species
GACGACCACAUGGGCCCCGUCCUGGGCCAAACGCCGGGCGAUGGCGAAGCCGAUCCUGUGAGCAGAAAGAGACAAAGACUGCUAAGGCCUGUGCAGGGGAAGAGGUCGACAGUAUGAGCUCUGAAGUUAAGACUGCCCGGGUUUGAAUUCUGGCUCUUUCUCUAUAUAACCCCUACGUGUGCCUACUAUGUGUAAAACAGGCUUAAUGGCAUGGCCAUUUUUGGCAUUCCUUUACUUGUUUUUAUUAUGACCUGGACCACAGCCUCAGUUCCCAAGAACUGACAUCACUUUCUACAGUUCCCACCAUGGGUGACAGGCUUCAUCCCCUCUUGGGACUGAGAGGUGCCACUUCGGAUAAACCCUUUGGACUCCUAACUCCAAUCAGGUGUCUGCUUUGUUGAGGACUCACAGACACAGUCUCCUUUCUUCAAGAUCUUUACAAUGCAAGACCUCACUAACACACAGGGAUGGUCUCCCAGAGGGUCUGUGCUGUUCCUUCACUCAGAACAUCAAGAUGCACUGAAGUAAGGAUCCUCUAUUCUACAGUUCCUGCUAGCUGAGCUAUUCCAUGGGGGCUUCAGCAGGAAAUUCCAAGGUUGGCUUUGACAAGCUAAGGCCGGCUGGUGGAGCACAUCGAGUUCUGGAGGUUCAUGUGUGUUUUCAUGAAGAUCUGUCUGCCCGUAGCAGAUAAAGAGUUGUUGCCCCACUCCUCCUGGGGUCUUCUAUUUUCCUGGGAGGAAUUUCUGGAUUAACUGAACACACACACACACACACACACCCUUUUGAAGCAUCAACAGUAAUUCUGAGUUCUUAGGGACAAUGCAGAUUAAAUCCACAAUAAGAAAGACAACUAUGGCCAGGUGUGGUGGCUCACGCCUGUAAUCCCAGAACUUUGGGAGGCUGAGGCGGAUGGAUCACCUGAGGUCAGGAGUUAGAGACCAACCUGACCAACAUGGAGAAACCCCGUUUCUACUAAAAAUGCAAAAUUAGCCGGGCAUGGUGGCAGGCGCCUGUAAUCCCAAAUACUCGGGAGGCUGAGGCAGGAGAAUCACUUAAACCCGGGAGGCAGAGGUUGCAGUGAGCCAAGAUCGCGCCAUUGCACUCCAGCCUGGGCAAGAAGAGCAAAACUCCAUCUCAAAAAAAAAAAAAGAGUACUAUUGAUCCAGAGGUGACCAGACUAGCCUCACUGGAGAUAAUAGGUGACAUUAUUAUGCAAAGUGGUUUCAGUUCCCUUGUCUUGUUUUUGGAAUAGUAUAAGAGGCCUACAAUACGAAUAAAUAAGGCCCAUCACAAGCCUCACCAAAGGACAAAACUAAUCCACUUCUGAAGAAGGCUCUUUGUUGGGCCAGAUCAAAUCCUUGGACAGAACUGUACUCUUAAUCUCUGUAGUGAAAGUGGGGGGUAGUUUAAGAAUUUAUUAACCUUCUACCUUGAGCAAUCCCUCAGAAGUAAGAGGUGUCAGGCCUCUGAGCCGAAGCUCAGCCAUUGUAACCCCUGUGACCUGCACAUAUAUGUCCAGAUGGCCUGCAGGAGCCAAGAAGUCUGGGGCAGCUGAAAAACCACACAAGAAGUAAAACAGCCAGUUCCUGCCUUAACUGAUUAACCAACAUUACAACAUUCCACCAUUGUGACCUGUCCCUGUCCUACCUUAACUGAUCAAUCGACCUUGUGACAGUCUUCUUCUGGACAAUGGGUCUUAUCAUCUCCCCACCAUGUACCUUGUGACCCCCUCCUCUGCUAACAAUAGAUAACCACUUUUUACUGUAAUUUUCCAUUACCUACCCAACUCCUAUAAAGCAACCCCUUCCCCAUCUCCCUUCACUGACUCUGUUUUCAGACUCAGCCCACUUGCACUCAAGUGAAUAAACAGCCUUGUUGCUCACACAAAGCCUGUUGGUGGUCUCUUCACACAGAUGUGCUUGACAAAAGGGAAGGGUGGAUUUGUCCUUCUGGUUACAUAUGUUCUGCUCACUCAUUUUGAAUUUAAUUAAACAAGGAUUGCCCUUACCUUUUCAUACUUUGUAAGAAACCAUAAAUACUUAUGCACCAUGAUUUUUUUAAAGAAACACUUUUUAUUUUGAAGUAAUUAUAGUCUCAUAGGAAGUUGCAAAAGUAGUACAUAGAGUCCCUGAGUACUCUUCCCCCAGUGGUGACAACUGUAGUAUAAUAUCAAUUCUGGGAAAUUGACAUUGGUACAAUACCAAAUAUACUAUGCCUUUUUCUCUAAGGCAUGAUGUUGCAGUAGCAUCCUUGUACAUGUAGCUAGGAGAACUUGUACUAAGCCCAGAUAAAUAGUUGAAGUACAAGGGCAAGGAGUGUGUCUUUGAUAUUUUAAUAGAAAUCACCUAUUGCCCUCUAGAAAAGCUGUACCCUUUUCCAGUGGCAGAGAACCUUCCUGAAAGGCAGUCCUGUGUAAUGGUGUCCAUUUCAUCACACCCUUAAAACACUCAGCUUUAACAAACAUGCAGAUUUUUGCUGAUGUGGGAGAAAAUAUUAAUUAUUAAUGAUAUUAAGGUGAUUAUCUUUUCGUAUGUUUAUAGAUAUUUGUAUUUCUUUUUAAAUGAACUGCUCAUGACCUUUGUCUACUUUUAUUUGGGUUUACUUCUUUCUCAUUUAUUCCUAUAAACUCUUUAUAAAAGGAAAUUAACCAUUUGAUUGUCAUAUGUUGUGAAUAUUUUUACCAUUUUGACUUUUGAAUUUAUGUCUUUUUAAUGAAUUGUAGAAGUUUAAAAUCUUUAUGGAAUAAAUUUAUUUAGUUUUUUGUUUAUGG